UACAGUUUUUUUUUCAUAUGCAUGUAUUUGCUGGGGAAAAUCUGUAUGAUGGAGUGGGUGAGGCAGUCAGGUACCAAGAAAGGCCCCUCACGUGGUGUGUUGGUCCCCCUUUCCCAGCAGGCAGGGGCUCCUGCGAGAGGGGGCUCUGUCAGCUUCUGUGUUACAUCACAGGCCUCGUGCUCUGCUGUGGAUGUCAGGAAAGAGUUAGUGGGGUCAGGGCCCAUCUAGGUUUCCCGUUCUUGGGUAUGAGGUACAGUGAUUUCCCAGAAUUACCUCUGCCUGUGGCAUCCCCCAUGAGAAUCCAUCAUGAAGAGCUGGCUGUGUGUGCGGCCAUGGUGGGUGCCUCUCCUGGAGCACAUGGGUAGGACGGAGUGUGCUGUGGGCAAGUCUGGCCCCCUCCUGCCCUGCAGCUCCUUAGCCAUCCCUAAUGGGAUUCUUCUUAGUCAAUCUCAGAAGUCACCAGUUUAAGCAGCUCUCUCACCUGUGUAUCAUCUGCUCCCCUGUUAAGAGCCCGAUGUCACCAUUCUGUUUCAGGGAGCCAUGCUCACUGGUCCUCCUGGUACCGGCAAGACCCUUCUUGCCAAAGCAACUGCAGGGGAGGCCACUGUGCCCUUCAUCACUGUGAACGGGUCUGAGUUCCUGGAAAUGUUUAUUGGCGUUGGGCCAGCAAGGGGUUCAACUCUGCCACCAACGUCGUGGUGUUGGCUGGCACCAACCGCCCUGACGUCCUGGACCCGGCCCUCAUGCGGCCUGGCCGGUUUCAUCGCCAGAUUUACACUGGUCCCCCUUACAUUAAAGGCAGGUCCUCCAUCUUUAAGGUCCACCUGCGCCCACUGAAGCUGGACAAGAGCCUCAAUAAGGACACCCUGGCGAGGAAGCUGGCAGUGCUCACCCCAGGCUUCCCUGACGGGGAUGACUCAGCACUACCCCUCAACAGAGAUGACUUUGAUGACUCUGCCCCUCAGCAGGGCUUACUAAGCACUACCCCUUAACAGGGAUGACUCCGCACUGCCCCUCAACAGGGAUGACUCAGCAGAGAUGACUCAGCACUGUCCCUUAGCAGGGAUGACACAGCAAGGAUGACUCAGCACUGCCCCUCAGCAAGGAUGACUCAGCACUGCCGCUCAACAGACAUGACUCAGGGAUGGCUUAGUACUGCCCCUCAGCAGGGAUGACUCAGCACCGCCUCUCAACAGGGAUGACUCAGCAGGGAUGACUCAGCACCGCCCCUCAACAGGCAUGACUCUGCAGAGAUGACUCAGCACUGUCCCUUAGCAGGGAUGACACAGCAAGGAUGACUCAGCACUGCCCCUCAGCAAGGAUGACUCAGCACUGCCGCUCAACAGGGAUGACUCAGGGAUGGCUUAGUACUGCCCCUCAACAGGGAUGACUCAGCAGGGAUGACUCAGCACCGCCCCUCAACAGGCAUGACUCUGCAGAGAUGACUUAGUACUGCCCCUCAGCAGGGAUGACUCAGUACUGCCCCUCAGCAGGGAUGACUCAGCACUGCCCCUCAACAGGGAUGACUCAGCAGGGAUGACUCAGCACUGUCCCUUAGCAGUGAUGACACAGCAAGGAUGACUCAGCACUGCCCCUCAGCAAGGAUGACUCAGCACUGCCGCUCAACAGACAUGACUCAGGGAUGGCUUAGUACUGCCCCUCAGCAGGGAUGACUCAGCACCGCCCCUCAACAGGGAUGACUCAGCACUGCCCCUCAACAGGGAUGACUCAGCAGGGAUGACUCAGCAGUGUCCCUUAGCAGCGAUGACACAGCAAGGAUGACUCAGCACUGCCCCUCACCAAGGAUGACUCAGCACUGCCGCUCAACAGACAUGACUCAGGGAUGGCUUAGUACUGCCCCUCAGCAGGGAUGACUCAGCAGGGAUGACUCAGCACCACCCCUCAACAGGGAUGACUCAGCAGGGAUGACUCAGCACUGCCCCUCAACAGGGAUGACUGCAGGGAUGACUCAGCACUGCCCCUCAGCAGGGAUGACUCAGCACUGCCCCUCAGCAGGGAUGACUCAGCAGGGAUGACUCAGCACCGCCCCUCAACAGGCAUGACUCUGCAGAGAUGACUCAGCACUGCCCCUCAGCAGGGAUGGCUCAGCAGGGAUGACUCAGCAUUGCCCCUCAACAGGGAUGACUCAGCAGACUCAGCAGGGAUGACUCAGCACUGCCCCUCAACAGACAUGACUCAGCAGGGAUGACUCAGCACCGCCCCUCAGCAAGGAUGACUCAGCAGGGAUGAUUCAGCAGAGAUAACUCGGGGAUGACUCUGAUUGUCCUUCAGCAGGGAUGAGUCUGUUUUGCUCCGAUGGAAGCAUCUGUAGUGUCCAUCAGCAGGUGAAUGGCCAAAGUGGUAUAUACUGUAGUCACAUUCAGCUAUAAAAAGGAAUAAAGUAUCGAUGCAUGCCACAACAUGGGUGAACCUAGAAAAUACUGAUCUAAAUGCAAGAAGCCAGGCACAAAAGGCCACAUAGUAUAUGUUCCCAUUUAUGUGAAAUGUGCAGAAUAAUAAUAAAAAUGUAUAGAAUAGCAAAUCUGUAGGGACAGACAUGAGGUGAGUGGUUGCCAGAAGUGGAAAUGGGAGUUAACUAUAAAUUGCACAGGGUACCUUACAGAGAUGAUGGAAAUGUCCUAAAACUAGAUUAUGGCAAUAGUUGCACUACGUGAUCAGUUUAUUAAAAAUCGUUGAUGUGUGUGUGUAAAAUGGGUGGAUUUUAUGGUUUAUAAAUUAUACCUUAAUAAAGGUUAAC
ensembl:lncRNA AFG3L1P AFG3 like matrix AAA peptidase subunit 1, pseudogene